rnacentral:rRNA from 1 species
UGCUUGGGAAUAUGCCUUUAGGUGGGGAACAACAGUUGGAAACGACUGCUAAUACCGCAUAAUGUCUACGGACCAAAGGAGGGGCUUCUUCGGAACCUUUCGCCUUUAGAUUAGCCCAAGUGAGAUUAGCUAGAUGGUGAGGUAAAGGCUCACCAUGGCGACGAUCUCUAGCUGGUUUGAGAGGAUGAUCAGCCACACUGGGACUGAGACACGGACCAGACUCCUACGGGAGGCAGCAGUGAGGAAUAUUGGGCAAUGGACGAAAGUCUGACCCAGCCAUGCCGCGUGCAGGAAGACGGC